AGAUUUAGACAGAGCGAAGAUUAUGCGAAGAAAGAAGGAAAAGGCGGCUGUCUCCAAGACAAAGAGAGAGGCCUCACGGGACGCCAACCCUGCUGACACCUUGAGCUUGGACUUCCAGCCUCCAGAACUGUGAGACAGUAAAUUUCUGUUGUUUAAGCCCCCUAGUCUGUGGUACUUUGUCAUGGCAGACCUAGCAUGCUAAUAUACCCCUCAAACUAGCCACAGCCCAAAGGGGAAUUUGUUUGAUGGAUCAUACACUGCAGGAACAACUGAGGUGCAGCUGGGCCACGUGAAACAACUGGAAUCAGGGAUUUGAAAGCCACUAGGAGCUCACCUCUAUCUUCCAUCUCUGCUUCUCUGACUUUGUCCUCCCAGAACCAGCUUCCUGUACAUGGCAGGGAAUGGCUCCCCCAUUUGCAACUUAAAGCUUCAUCACCUAGGAGGGACUGGCCUUUUGUCCCACUGCUAGUUUACAAAAUCCUAAAGAAGGAUUUUGAUUGGCUGGCCUACGUCAUUGCCCAGCCCAAGACCAAUAAUAGACACAGCAGCUAAUUUGUUCAGCAACUACUCUGUGCAAAGCACUCCAUUCAUUCUACUAAAUAAUUUGCUAAACAUGUGGGGUUAUUAUCAUUAUGAUUACACCUUUACAGAUGAGGAAGCUGAGUCAUGAAGUAGUCAGGGAACUUGUCCCAGGGCACACAGGGUGUGAGCAAUGUCCCUGAGUCCAAUGUGGGGUGGCCAAUGAGUGCAGCUAGCAGGUCCUGUUUUUUGUUUUUUGUUUUGUUUGUUUGUUGUUGUUUUUUGUUUAUUUAUUUAUUUAUUUAUUUUGAGACAGGGUCUCCUUCUGUCUCAUCCAGGCUGGAGAGCAGUGGUGCAAUCAUGGUUCAACCUCCCAGGCUCAAGUGAUCCUCCCACCUCAGUGUCCUGAGUAGCUGGGACUAUAGGCGCAUGCCACCACACCUGCUAAUUUUUUGUAUUUUUAGUAGAGAUGGAGUUCACCACAUUGCCCAGACUGGUCUUGAACUUCUGGGCUCAAGGGAUCCUCCCACCUUGGCCUGCCCAGCCUAGCAAGUCCUUUCUAAACCAAUGAGUCAGUGCCAGUCUCCCAUAGUCCCUGUAAAUCUUGCCACACCCUUCAAGUAUCAUCCACUAUGCAGCCACCUUGCUGGACAAAGGGUGCCCUCUGAGAUCCUGAGAAAAGGCCACAAUGACUUCUGGCUGGCAACUCCAUCAUGCCUUUUAUUCAAAGGCUGCAGUGGCUAAUACAAAGAGAGGCCAGCAGGGUAGUAAACAAUCCCUAAAUUGAGAGCCUGGGAACUCAGAGAGCCUGACCAGCAUCUUGCCCUAAGCAGUCCUGCCCUGUGCUCCAACCUAAUGGGAUCUCUGAAUUCUCCUUGGGCUUUCCAGGCAGCAGAGGAACUUGGCAGGCAGUCUGUAGGUUUCUCAAGCUUGCAGUAAAAUGCUGAGAUUCUGGCCAGUAAUUUCCCCUUCAGACCUAACCUGCCUUGCCCAAUGACUAGGCUUUUGGAAACUUUGAUUCAAGAAAUAGAGCGGUUGGUAAUAAUCUCUGAUGAUCAGUCCGAGCUUGGCAUUUUCAUUUGAUACAAGAGAAUGGGGACUGAAGUGUUACUUGGAAUGGAUUCUUUUAGCUCAGAAAGAAAUUCAGAGUCACUUUGACUUAAUAUUUUUCUUGUUAGUAACUGGAAAUCUCUACUCAUCUUGGGGCCCCUGGACAAGGAAAAUUUGCCUAUUGUGUGUUCAAA
rnacentral:lncRNA from 10 species